UACGAAGGGGCUAGCGUUGCUCGGAAUCACUGGGCGUAAAGGGUGCGUAGGCGGGUCUUUAAGUCAGGGGUGAAUCCUGGAGCUCAACUCCAGAACUGCCUUUGAUACUGAAGAUCUUGAGUUCGGGAGAGGUGAGUGGAACUGCGAGUGUAGAGGUGAAAUUCGUAGAUAUUCGCAAGAACACCAGUGGCGAAGGCGGAG
rnacentral:rRNA from 1 species